AGUCGAACGGUGAAGCCAAGCUUGCUUGGUGGAUCAGUGGCGAACGGGUGAGUAACACGUGAGCAACCUGCCCUGGACUCUGGGAUAAGCGCUGGAAACGGCGUCUAAUACUGGAUAUGAGCUCUCAUCGCAUGGUGGGGGUUGGAAAGAUUUUUUGGUCUGGGAUGGGCUCGCGGCCUAUCAGCUUGUUGGUGAGGUAAUGGCUCACCAAGGCGUCGACGGGUAGCCGGCCUGAGAGGGUGACCGGCCACACUGGGACUGAGACACGGCCCAGACUCCUACGGGAGGCAGCAGUGGGGAAUAUUGCACAAUGGGCGGAAGCCUGAUGCAGCAACGCCGCGUGAGGGAUGACGGCCUUCGGGUUGUAAACCUCUUUUAGCAGGGAAGAAGCGAGAGUGACGGUACCUGCAGAAAAAGCGCCGGCUAACUACGUGCCAGCAGCCGCGGUAAUACGUAGGGCGCAAGCGUUAUCCGGAAUUAUUGGGCGUAAAGAGCUCGUAGGCGGUUUGUCGCGUCUGCUGUGAAAUCCCGAGGCUCAACCUCGGGCCUGCAGUGGGUACGGGCAGACUAGAGUGCGGUAGGGGAGAUUGGAAUUCCUGGUGUAGCGGUGGAAUGCGCAGAUAUCAGGAGGAACACCGAUGGCGAAGGCAGAUCUCUGGGCCGUAACUGACGCUGAGGAGCGAAAGGGUGGGGAGCAAACAGGCUUAGAUACCCUGGUAGUCCACCCCGUAAACGUUGGGAACUAGUUGUGGGGACCAUUCCACGGUUUCCGUGACGCAGCUAACGCAUUAAGUUCCCCGCCUGGGGAGUACGGCCGCAAGGCUAAAACUCAAAGGAAUUGACGGGGACCCGCACAAGCGGCGGAGCAUGCGGAUUAAUUCGAUGCAACGCGAAGAACCUUACCAAGGCUUGACAUACACCAGAACACCGUAGAAAUACGGGACUCUUUGGACACUGGUGAACAGGUGGUGCAUGGUUGUCGUCAGCUCGUGUCGUGAGAUGUUGGGUUAAGUCCCGCAACGAGCGCAACCCUCGUUCUAUGUUGCCAGCACGUAAUGGUGGGAACUCAUGGGAUACUGCCGGGGUCAACUCGGAGGAAGGUGGGGAUGACGUCAAAUCAUCAUGCCCCUUAUGUCUUGGGCUUCACGCAUGCUACAAUGGCCGGUACAAAGGGCUGCAAUACCGUGAGGUGGAGCGAAUCCCAAAAAGCCGGUCCCAGUUCGGAUUGAGGUCUGCAACUCGACCUCAUGAAGUCGGAGUCGCUAGUAAUCGCAGAUCAGCAACGCUGCGGUGAAUACGUUCCCGGGUCUUGUACACACCGCCCGUCAAGUCAUGAAAGUCGGUAACACCUGAAGCCGGUGGCCUAACCCUUGUGGAGGGAGCCGUCGAAGGUGGGAUCGGUAAUUAGGACUCAGUCGACGCUAUGCGCGACGGCC
rnacentral:rRNA from 1 species